GCUAGGGCUGCUGCCACCCGGGCGUGGCGGGGACCUUGGCCUCCUUGUGCCCUCAGUCCCCCCGAGACCGGGAAGGGGCGCGGCAGCCGGGCUGCGCGGCCGCUGAAAGGUCCGGCUCAUCUCCCAAAAGCGCCGCGACAGCAACGCUAACACCGCUCCCCCCCUCCCCGGCAAAUUAGGGCGAAAGCGACCCCCGCGAAGCUGUUGCGUAACACGAUUGGGAAACCAGGCUGGACGCGCACGGUCUGCGUUCCCGACCACGUGGAGGGGUGGCUGCUGUUGCCGAGGACCCAAGGGUCCGCGCGGCCGGGGUGCGCCCGCCUGGGACGCCCUCCGACCUUCGGAACUCAGGUUGGAGCGAGCCUCGGAGGGCACCGCCCCCCCCCUCCCCAGCAUCUGGAGCUAGUAGCUGCGCUGUCCUUUCUGCCCCUAGCGAACACGUCGGCCCCUCCCUCCCCAAUUCCAUAGCCGUACAAAAGACGUAAGAAAAUGGGAAACAGAGCAUCUGGCGGCACGUUCUGCAGUCAGUUACCAGGUUGGCUGUUGUAAAGGAACGUGGCAUGCACUCCCCGCGUUUACAGACACGUAAGGUUAGUGCUGGCCUUGGCAGAGGGAGCCAUAUUCCUGACAGUGACGCACGCGCCUGCCCCAAAACGGAUUGUGGCAGGUGGCGAGGUCCUUGAGCAGUCGGUCUCCUGCUCUGCUCGGACUGUGAGAGCGGGGCUCGAGUGACUCCCUCCCUCUGCUUCCCCCACCUUCUCGUUUUUGUUUUGUUUUGUAUUUUUAAAGAAAGCAAGUCCAAAGUGCGUGACACCCUCCCUCCCCGCCGAACAUCUUACUAAGUGGAUCUUUUUCCACCUACCCCGGGCACACAAGUAAACGGAAAAUCUCGGAGGCAUCCUCAGUGCUGGUCUGAUGACCAUUCACCGGUUGGACUUUUGGACGCCUUCACGCGGCAGUAACGAUGGAGCCUGCUGUCUCGUGAGAUACCCAGCAAGCCACAGAUAGUUUGGAUCCCGAAGUAGGAGUAACGUUUUCACAAAAAGCCAACCGAACUUGCCUGACUCACCCGAGGCUGACAGCGGAGGAACUGAGGCUCUGACCCGCGAAGCUGUUCUGUAGAUUGAAUUCUGAAAUCUGAUGCCUGUCUUCAAUCCCCGGGACAGUUUACCCUGCGCCUCCACCGCAUCGGUGCUUCCGUCAUUGUCAUCUAACUUGGAAAUUAGAGGAAGUGUGUGAGAGAUGAGUCCGAUAGCAACUUGGAAAAUAACUCGUUAGCGCCUCCUGGCGCUUCGGAAACAGAUCAACAAGGCGGCGGAGGCUUGGUCUCCAGGACCUGGGCGAUGGAGUGUCCAGGUUACACACUCGGGAGGGUUGACCUUCUGGGCAAGUGCUUGCAAUGAGCUGCACCAGAAGAAAAUUGAAACAUAACCCUAGGGCUGGAGGACUUCCCCCAAGCCUCCAGGGUGCCGAUGGCAGCCUGAAAGUAGGGUCUCCUGAGGACGGAGAGGAUGGAGAGCUGGCUGAAGUAUGAAGUCCAAACUUGGGUUUUCCUGGAAGCGCUGGGGCUUGAGUCCCAGUCUUCUACAUGCUAAGCAAGUGCUUUAUCGGUGAGCUACCUUCCCAGGAGAAACCCAAGGCGUUCUUACUCUAAGCGGUUGGUUCCUUUCAGUGCUGGGAUCUGCGGUGGAUGCAGGAGCCGAGAGCCGAGGAGCAGAGGAGCAGAGGAGCAGUGACCCGGACCAGCAGAAAUCAUUCGCAAAAGGCUUUGUUCUCAUACUGCCCUGCUCUCUUACCCAGGAGGGAGCAUGAGAGGUGAAAGCCGAGAACAGGGAGAGAAUGUGAGCGUGAGAAUGUAGUUCUUCCUGAGAAAACUUUCAGGAUAUGUCCAGCUGCAAGGUCCAGACUGCUGGUCAAUAGGCUUUUCCCAAGGGGUUUCCCCUCUCAGUGGUGGGUGUCGGCCCAGCUCUGAGCCCAGUUAGACAGCUUCAGCUCGGUGUCCUGGACCUUGCUACACCUGGUUAGCUGUCGUUAGGUGCUUUAGGAGGGUCCAGGAGGGGAGCCACCUGUGGACCGUGACACGAGAGAAAAAAUGCCUUCAUCGUUACAGUACCAGGCCAGGCAGCUGUGGCGCCAAGUUUUCAAAAGUUGACAUUAAAAAUAUCUUUUUUUUGGGGGGGGGAUGUUUGAGAGAGAGAGAUAGCCUGCUUUCCAGUGUUGGCAAGGAAUCCAUUUUCUUUCAAAGUGAGGCUAAUGAGAUGGCGUAGAGGAUAAAGGCACUUUCCUAGUUUUGAGCUCUAGGAUUCAAAUGGUGGAGGGUCAGAACCGAGCCCUUCAGGUUGCCCUGUGACCUCUAUAUGUGAAUUAUGGCAUGGGUUUGAGUAAGUAAGUAAGUAAGUAAGUAAAUAAAUGUGAUAUACUUAAAAGUAAAUAAAAUAUUGGGCCAGUUGUGGCUCAGUUGUUAAGGGACUUGCAUAUCUUGCACAAAGCUCUGGGUCCAACUCCCAGCACCACAGAAAACAGAUAUGGUGGUGCAUGCCUGUAAUCCCAGCACUCAGGAGGUACAGGCAGCAAGAUCAGAAGUUCAAAGUCAUUUUCAGCUAUAAUGUCAGUUCCAGGCUAGCCUAGGCUAUGCGAGACUGUUUGUGACUGACUGACUGAAUGAAUGAAUGAAUGAGUCAAUGAAUUGGUCUAGGGCUUACCUGACUGGAGCCUAAAGAUGGAAAAUAAAGUUCUGUCAAUCACAAGGGGGACCGACAGGCUGACGACUAGUCAGGUCUGCAGCUCUGUCUGCUUUGUGUACCGGAGUGUUCUGAAUUUCUCAGUGGGAAAGCCCAGUUGCUCUGCACCCUCUAAUGACCACAGCCCUCACGUAGGGGCCAUGACCAGCAUGAAAGCCCCUACCUACCACUGCACUGUGUUUGUUGGCCUUUUAGCACCUUUUAUUUACUUUUAAGUUUUAAAAGAUUUGUUCAUUUCAAUUUUGUGUGUAUGAGUGUCUUGUCUUCAUGCAUGUCUGCAGCACAUGUGUGCCUGGUGCCUACAAAAGCCACAGGAGGGCAGCCGCUCCCCUGGGACUGGAGGUACGGCUGGUUGCGAGCUGCCAUGUGAAUCUCAUAGUUAAAGUCCAGUUGCUCUUAAGAGCAACCAGUGCCCUUAACUGUCUCAUUUCUCAUUUCUCUUAAAAAAACAAAACAAAACAUUCUUUGUUGUUUUUCAAGACAAGGUUUCUUGUGCAGCCCUGGCUGUUCUGGAACUGGCACUGUAGACCAGGCUGGCCUUGAACUCAGAGGCCCUCCUGCCUCUGCCUUCCCAGUGCUAAGACUAAAGGCGAGCGCCGCCGCCACCGCUACCUCCAUCACCUCUCCUCAUCUCUGUCUUGUAUCUUUUAAUUAAACUUUGCAAAGCAGUUCAGACAGUUUCCAGAGA